rnacentral:rRNA from 1 species
GCAUAACGCGAAGAACCUUACCUACCCUUGACAUGUCAGAGAUCCCUGAGAGAUUGGGGAGUGCCGCAAGGAAUCUGAACACAGGUGCUGCAUGGCUGUCGUCAGCUCGUGUCGUGAGAUGUUGGGUUAAGUCCCGCAACGAGCGCAACCCUUGCCAUUAGUUGCUACAUUUAGUUGAGCACUCUAAUGGGACUGCCGGUGACAAACCGGAGGAAGGUGGGGAUGACGUCAAGUCCUCAUGGCCCUUAUAGGUGGGGCUACACACGUCAUACAAUGGCUGGUACAAAGGGUUGCCAACCCGCGAGGGGGAGCUAAUCCCAUAAAGCCAGUCGUAGUCCGGAUCGCAGUCUGCAACUCGACUGCGUGAAGUCGGAAUCGCUAGUAAUCGUGGAUCAGAAUGUCACGGUGAAUACGUUCCCGGGUCUUGUACACACCG